rnacentral:rRNA from 1 species
GAUGAACGCUGGCGGCGCGCCUAACACAUGCAAGUCGAACGAUUAAAGCACCUUCGGGUGUGUAUAAAGUGGCGAACGGCUGAGUAACACGUGGGCAACCUGCCCCUUUCAUUGGGAUAGCCACGGGAAACCGUGGAUAAUACCGAAUACUUCGAGACUUCCGCAUGGAAGACUCGAGAAAGCUCCGGCGGAGAGGGAUGGGCCCGCGGGCUGUUAGCUUGUUGGUGGGGUAACGGCCUACCAAGGCAAUGAUGGGUAGCUGGGUGGAGAGGCCGACCGGCGCAAGGGGGAUGAGGAACAGCCCAGGCCCCCUCGGGGAGCAGCGAGGGGGGAAGGUGGAAAAAGGGCGGGAGGCCUGAUCAAGCACCGCGGGGGCAGGGAGGAAGGCCUGCGGUUUGAAACCGGCAUCAGCCGGGGACGAAGGGGGAGUGACGGGACUUGCAAAAGAAGCACCGGCUAACUACGUG